GGACAGAGCAGAGUCUGUGGACAGGGACGAGACGCCAGCUGGUCCUGCAGAGUCCAGACCCACAGCAGAGUCUUCAGGAUCCAGCAGGUUGUCUCUGAAGAGUUACCGCGGGUCCAAAGAGUUUCCACCAGACUUCAGUGUUGAACCUGGACCUUCAGACACAAAAGAGAAGAAGAGCAGUGAUGUCUGUGAGGAGCAGCAGGACCAGGGUUCUUCA